UGGUUCUGGCAUCGAUGAAGAACGCAGCGAAAUGCGAUAAGUAAUGUGAAUUGCAGAAUUCAGUGAAUCAUCGAAUCUUUGAACGCACAUUGCGCCCUCUGGUAUUCCGGGGGGCACACCUGUUCGAGCGUCAUUUAAACCAUCAAGCCCAGCUUGGUCUUGGACGAGGUCGAGCGACCCGUCCGUAACCCGUCGGCGGUACCGUCCGGCCCCAAGCGUAGCAAGUAUUUCGCUCAGGGAGCCCGGCGGUGCCCGCCAGUCAAUGGCCACUUUAAAGUUUGACCUCGGAUCAGGUGGGGAUACCCGCUGA
rnacentral:misc_RNA from 1 species